CUGAACACUGGGAAGGAAUGGGCACUUGGAGUCCGGACAUCUGAAACUUGGUAAGACUGGUCUUUGGAACUUGCUCGCUCCAUUUGAGUGGAAGCAUGGCCUGAUCACCCACGGUGUGCCUGUACCGGCACUUUGGUUCUUGUUUUUGACUUGACUUGAAUUGCUUGAUACUAUGGUUUUGGUUUUGACCUGGCUUGGAUUUCUGGAUACUCUGAUUUUGGUUUUGAUUCUGGCCUGGUGUAAACUGAAAAAGUGUGUGUGUGUCCUUUUUACCCAUUCUUUGUUCUGUGGUGUGCGUGUGGUAUGAGUGUGGUGUUUUGUCUUCAGGAAACAUGGGUCAGACAAAAGUAAGCCCACUCCACAAGGAGCUAUGUUGAAAAAUUCCAAGGAAGGAUUUAGUGGAGACUAUGGGGUUACUAUGACACCAGGGAAACAUAGAACUUCGUGUGAAAUAGAUUGGCCAACAUUAGAAGUGGGUUGGCCAUCAGAAGGAAGCCUGGACAGGUCCCUUGUUUCUAAGGUGUGGCACAAGGUGAUCAAGUAUGGAUUAAAGACUGGAAUGUAGCUUCUUUGUGCCCAUGGUGGAUAGGACCCCAGAUUGUCAUCCUGACCACUCUCACCGCUGUGAAGGUAGAAGGAAUCCCAGCCUGGAUCCACCACAGCCAUGUAAAACCUGCAGCGCCUGAAACCUGGGAGGCAAGACCAAGCCCGGACAACCCUUGCAGAGUGACCUUGAAGAUGAUGACAAGCCCUGCUCCAGUCACACCCAGAAGCUGACUAGUCCAUGCACGGCCGAAGCAUGAGGAAGCUCAUCGUGGAACUCAUUUUUCUUAAAUUUUGGACUUGUACAGUAAGGACUUCAACUGACCUUCCUCAGACUGAGGUAGGGCAAAAAGUUAAAACAGUCUUUCUGUUUAAAAGGGACUUGUGUGUAUAAUGCCACCCAGUACAAGGUAUGCAGCUCAGGAAGUGACCAGACUCAAGUGUGCUACAACCCAGUAGAACUACUUAAUCCCCAUUGGAAAACAAGAGAGUAUGUAACUCUAGGAGUCAAUGGAAUUGGACUGGCAGGAAGACCUAGGUAAUGUAGGUGGAAGUGAGAACUCCCACUAGUGAGUGAGGUUCUCAAAGGGGAGAAUGAGGAGGGAAGCCAUUUCUCUUACUGUCUCCUGUCUCUGAAGAACAGGAGGAAGUAAAAGUUGAAAAACAACAGGAAGGAAGUCAGUGGCAAGACCAGCCAGUGCCACUGAUGACCUGGCCUGAGGUUAAAAGGUUAACCACCCCCCUCUCCUCUAACCACAUGUGCUCUCAAUCCAUCACGACCCUUUCAUGUGGAACCCCUUAGAGUUGUAAGCCCUUAAAAGGGCCAGGAACUCUGUCUUCGGGGAGCUCGGCUCUUAAGAUGCGAGUCUGCCAACGCUCCCAGCCAAAUAAAAACCUCUUCCUUCUUCAAUCCAGUGUCUGAGGAGUUUUGUCUGUGGCCCGUCCUGCUACAGCACAAUUGUAGCCCACUGUAACCUCGAAUUCCUAGGCUCAAGUGAUCCUCCCACCUCAGCCUCCUGAGUAGAGUAGCUAGGAUUACAGGCAUGUGCCACCAUGCCAAGCUAAUUUUCUUUAGAGACAAGGUCUUGCUAUGUUGCCCAGGGUGGUCUCAAACUCCUGGGCUCUUGGCCUCUCAAAAUGUUGGAUUUUAGGAUUAUAAGCAUGAACCACUGUACCCGGACUGCUCUUUCUUACAAAAAAAAGUAUUUUCCCAUUAGAAAAUAUAGUGAAUUUGAUAAAUACAAAAAAAGGUGGAAAGACCUCUCCCUCUCCCUCUCCCUCCUCUCCCUCUCCAUCUCCCCACUCCCUCUCUCUCCACGGUCUCCCUCUG
rnacentral:lncRNA from 1 species